UACGAAGGGUGCAAGCGUUACUCGGAAUUACUGGGCGUAAAGCGUGCGUAGGUGGUUCGUUAAGUCUGCCGUGAAAGCCCCGGGCUCAACCUGGGAAUGGCGGUGGAUACUGGCGGACUAGAGUGCGGUAGAGGGUGGUGGAAUUCCCGGUGUAGCAGUGAAAUGCGUAGAGAUCGGGAGGAACACCGGUGGCGAAGGCGGUUCUCUGGGCCUUACCUGACGCUGAGGAGCGAAAGCGUGGGGAGCGAACAGG
rnacentral:rRNA from 1 species